rnacentral:rRNA from 1 species
UACUAGAGUAGCACUCGCAUAUCAAUAAGCGGAGGAAAAGAAACUAACAAGGAUUCCCCUAGUAACGGCGAGUGAAGCGGGAAGAGCUCAAAUUUGAAAUCUUAAAGGGUUUCCCUUUACGAAUUGUAGUUUAAAGAAGUGUUUUCUGUUGAGGUUUUGGUAAAAGUUCUUUGGAAUAGGACAUCAUAGAGGGUGAGAAUCCCGUAUUUGACCUUUACUUUCAACUUUGUGAUACACUUUCAAAGAGUCGGAUUGUUUGGGAAUGCAGUCCAAAAUGGGUGGUAAAUUUCAUCUAAAGCUAAAUAUUGGCGAGAGACCGAUAGCGAACAAGUACCGUGAGGGAAAGAUGAAAAGAACUUUGAAAAGAGAGUUAAACAGUACGUGAAAUUGUCAAAAGGGAAGCGUUUGACACCAGUGUUGUUUUUCUGAAAAUCAAUUAAAGAACUGUUUAUGCUAAGUUGUUUAGACUUUAUCAGCUAACUGUUUAGUUUUGAGCUUUUCUUUAAUGCACUUUUCAGUUAACAAGUCAACAUCAAUUUCUUUUGCUGUAAAAAAGUCUUGAGGAAGGUGGCUUGAGAUUCGUCUUAAGUGUUUAUAGCCUCUUGCCUAUGCAGUCGGAGAGAUUGAGGUCUGCAGCGUAGAUCCUUCGGGGCUAAAUGCAUUUGUGCUAAGUUAUAGCAUUUUAUAGACAACUUGUUGACUAUGAUUUGUCUUGUAGCUUACUCGCUUAUGUUAUUUUACCUACGCUUAGGAUGUUGAGCGCAUGUCUCUCUCU